rnacentral:rRNA from 1 species
CCUACGGGGGGCUGCAGUGAGGAAUAUUGGUCAAUGGGCGGGAGCCUGAACCAGCCAAGCCGCGUGAGGGAAGAAGGCUUUCGGGUUGUAAACUUCUUUUGACAGGGAAGAGCAGAAGACGGUACCUGUCGAAUAAGCCACGGCUAACUACGUGCCAGCAGCCGCGGUAAUACGUAGGGGGCAAGCGUUAUCCGGAUUUACUGGGUGUAAAGGGAGCGUAGACGGCAGUGCAAGUCUGGAGUGAAAGGCGGGGGCUCAACCCCCGGACUGCUCUGGAAACUGUACGGCUGGAGUGCAGGAGAGGUAAGUGGAAUUCCUAGUGUAGCGGUGAAAUGCGUAGAUAUUAGGAGGAACACCAGUGGCGAAGGCGGCUUACUGGACUGUAACUGACGUUGAGGCUCGAAAGCGUGGGGAGCAAACAGGAUUAGAUACCCUAGUAGUC